rnacentral:rRNA from 1 species
UAAAGCUACUCUCAGUUCGGAUUGUAGGCUGAAACUCGCCUACAUGAAGCUGGAGUUACUAGUAAUCGCAGAUCAGAAUGCUGCGGUGAAUGCGUUCCCGGGUCUUGUACACACCGCCCGUCACACCCCGGGAGUUGGAGACGCCCGAAGCCGAUUAUCUAACCUUUUGGAAGAAGUCGUCGAAGGUGGAAUCAAUAACUGGGGUGAAGUCGUAACAAGGUAGCCGUAUCGGAAGGUGCGGCUGGAUCACCUCCUUUCUAAGGAGA